ensembl:lncRNA
CUCCUUCUCUCUCCUCCUCUCCCAGUGUGAUCCCCGUUUCUAAUCACAGGAGAGCGAAGCGGUGGGGAGCUCCCGCCAGAAAGCCCCUAACUGGAAGUGACUGGUUUGACCCCCCACGGCUCCGUCUCCUGAUUGUCAAGGCUAGCCGUCCUCAGAAAGCCCCUAUUAAUGUGUGCAGAACACGGGCGCGCUCCCUCCGCCGCGGCUCAGAGCAUCGUUACUCUGACUGUCAGUGUGCUCACUAAAUUGUGUCAGUCACACAGUUGGUUUUCAGCAGGCGUCACUCUGAAGUCGUCUCUAAUGGCGUGCCAUGCACCAAACGCCGCGUCUUACCUGUGGGUGAGUGUGGGUGGGUGUGUGUGAGUGUGUGUUGAGUGUGGGAGGUGUUAUCUCUUCUUUAGUUUCUCUCUCUCUUCCUCUCUUUGAUUAACAGGCCAUUGCUCAGAGGCCCAAUUCUUAUUUUUAACCUGCCUCCCAAAAGCCAACUCUGAACUGAGUGGGAGGGGAGUGCGGAGGGAGUGGGGAAAGAGCGAAGGAGAGAGGAGGAAAGAAGCAAUGAAAGGAUAGUGUUGACACUUGCUCUCUCCGUUGGUUUUCUCUGUCUGAAGUUAUCUUCAUCAGUUUCUGUAUGUUUCUGUAGGUCUCUCGUUCUGUAGGUCUCUCUGUAUGUCUCCGUCUGUAUGUAGGCCUCCCCGCCUUGCAGGUCUCUCUUACACACCUUGAGAUUCCUCCUGCAGAGUUGACGGUGCUGAGUGUAGCCCCCCGAAGCCGCCUCAAACCUAUUACUGAAAACCGGGAGAGAGGAAAGAGGAGAGGUGAGCAGACGAAAAGCACGAGACAAAACGCUAAUCAAAGCUGGGAGAGGGAGAGAAAGAGAAGAACCACAAAGAAAGCAGUGACAUCAUCCUCGCGCUGGAAAAAAAGGAGAAAGACAGCGAGAAGAAAAGAGAGCGACAAGGCCUCCUAGUUGGCGUACCUAUGCAUCUGUCAUUGAUUUCUUCCUCUGUAAAUAUUUGAAGGGCCAAUAAAGCCCUUUCUUUAUUUACUCCACUUUAUUUAUUCAGGCUCAUGCUAGCGCCUCGCAGUCUCCCUCUGGAAGGUGCGGCGUCAUCACCGCCCAAUUACUCAUGCAUUAUUAAAGCUUGUCUCCUUUCCUUUCUACUUCCUAUGUGAAGGUAGCAUUAUUAAAAGCUACUGUAUUCUUGCCCACUUCCUCCUUCCUUCCUUCCUUCCUUUCUUCCUAUCCUCCGCGCAUUUAAAAUCCUCCCUUUUCAUUUCUUCCGUGAUUUCCUUUUUUUGUCUUCUUUCUCCUCUUUUCUCUGUUAAAAGCUGACUUCCUACCUCCUCGGUUCCCCACAUAAUGUAAUACCCCGAAACUUCCUCUCUCUCUCGUUGUCUGUCCCUCCUCCGCUUCUCUUUUUCCUAACUCACUUCCAUGCUAUUCGCCCCGGGCUGCCUCCUGCAUCCUAACACAGGGAAUUGAAAAUCCUCCUAAGCUCUGAUCUGUGUGUGUAUGUGUGUUUUUUGAGAGAGAGAUUGUGUGUGUGUGUUGGGAGAGAGAUUGUGUGUGUGUGUGUUGGGAGAGUGAUUGUCUGUGUGUGUCUGACUUGUCUUUCAUUAGAGGGAGCUUUGAUGUGAAGGAACAAUGAAGGUGGCAUUGUCACUAAGGAUCUUUUUUUAAUAUAACUGCCUGGUGUCUCUUUCUGCACUGCCAGGUCACAGUGACAUCUUAUUUCAGAGAUAUAGGGUUGGAUAUGGGAAGUCAACUGCCUGGUGUCUCUGUCUGCACUGCCAGGUCACAGUGACAUCUUAUUUCAGAGAUAUAGGGUUGGAUAUGGGAAGUCAACUGCCUGGUGUCUCUGUCUGCACUGCCAGUACACAGUGACAUAUUUUUUCAGAGAUAUAGGGUUGGAUAUGGGAAGUCAACUGCCUGGUGUCUCUGUCUGCACUGCCAGUUCACAGUGACAUAUUUUUUCAGAGAUAUAGGGUUGGAUAUGGGAAGUCAACUGCCUGGUGUCUCCGUCUGCACUGCCAGUUCACAGUGACAUAUUUUUCCAGAGAUAUAGGGUUGGAUAUGGGAAGUCCAGUACACACAUAGAGUGUACCGCGACCUCAGAGAGGUGAGACGGUGAAACGGUUGGACAGACAAAGGAGAAGGGGUGGAGAGAGAACACACAGUGACAUGCUUGUACGAAAACAAAGCACAGCACAGACCGUACAAUAACAAUCCAACACCUCUUUACCAAUCUAAAUCCAACCCCUCCUCUCCAACAAUGCAGAGUUACAGAGACAAGAGAGGAAGAGACCAGGGGAGGGAGAGACCAGGGGAGGGAGAGACCAGGGGAGGGAGAGGGGGCGAGAUAGAGAGGGGAAGAGAAACAGGCAUAAACAAGGUAGUGAAAAUAGAAACACACCGUUGUACAGGGGACCAGAGGCAUCCAUUCUCUCCACCACUUCAAAAACCCGGGCAGACGACAUGAGGAAACAGCACCCGUCCCAAAAAGCACCCCGUUGCCCGUGCAGUGCACUCCUUCUGACCAGAAUGCCUAGCAGCACUGUGGGGAAUAGGGGGCCAUUUUGGACACUGUCACAGAGGGAGAUGUUUCCAAGGAAGCUCAUGGGUCCCAUGGGGACAAUGGUCCAGUUGUGCAGAAGCCCAGUAACUGCUCUGAAAAUGUAUUUAUUUUUUGUCCAGCUAAAUGAGUUGUAAGUAGAUUACUGAAGAUGUUGUUAUAUAUAGUCUUACUAUGAGGUUAUUCUUGAUUCGUAUUGACCCUAACCCUUAUGCCACGAUUGAAGUUACUGCACUUUCACGUGGUUGGGCAAAGCAGGGCGCUCUUCCAACCGCCCGAAAUAUUACAGAAGUGAUAUUUAUCUCCCCUGAAAUGUAUGUUUUCAUAUUUCAUAUUUGUGGGGUCGCAUUCUCCCUCAGCGUGUGUACGGGAGAUCGGCUAAAUGCCUCAGGAGAGACGUACCAGACCUCAGGCAGACUGGGCCUUGAGCACUUGUGGCCUCAACUACAUAAUCCAAACAUUAUGUUCCACAACCAUAGCUGAAUUCCCAGGAUAACACACACACACACACACUGAUGGAUGGGCCCUCCUCCCCAACACACUGCAUUAUAACUUCAUCCCUGACACGUUGUAUAUGAGCAGGAGCCCUCAGCCUGUAUCAUAAGUAGACCUAUUUAUAGCAUCCAUGCCGCGGCGGAGGCGCUCACAGGGGAGAACAUGAGUGAGUGUUGUUAAUAUUCCAAAUGCUAAUACCGACAACUCUCUAAUCGCCCACUUCCACAUAACAGUAGGCUGCGUCUUACAGAAAUCGCAGAACACUUUGAGUGAACUAUCCCUUCAAAGGAAUGUUUGAAACUUUAUCUUCAAGGGACAGUUCUCUUAAAAUACAAUCCUUUAUAGCCAUAUUUUGACGGAAGUGUCUUUGAAGACCCACACCAGUGGAAAUCAUUUUUAUCGACCAGAAAGUCGAUGUCCAGACCUUACCCAUAAUGUUGUACAGCGGUUCACGUCAAUAGGUCAUAUGACAUAACUAAGAUUGAGGUGAUAAAUCCAAUCUUCUCAGGUGUCUGUGAAAUCUGUCAUUUCCUAGAAAAUGAUGUGCAUACUCUUUGCAGCUGGCCUUUCAGUUCAGAGCUCAGGUUUAUUUGUCUUUGGGGCUCCAACUGACAGUCAGCUAUGUCAGUUACGCUACACUUGCAUUGCAAUAGCCCUGUUGUAAUUCUUUUUCCUUUUGUUACGAUCUGCUUAUCGUAAUAAUUUCGGUAAUUUGUGACAUUUCGCAAAUGUUUUAGCUAUUGUGUGUACAGCAAAAAUAUAUGAAUAUCUGAGGAAAUCGUGAAUGAGGAAAUUGUGUGAUAUGAUUGCAUUUUACAUUGCCGGAGGUUCAAUGGUUUUAUACCACUAAUGUAACAAGCACAUUUACAGUCAUGUAAGAAAGUACCCCCAGGAUGUUACAUAUUUGGACGUGUGGAUGUGUAAUCUUUACAUCAACACUACUGACAGAUAAAGGUAUACCUAAUUUAACAAAUGACACUGAAAGAUUGUACUUGGCAGUCACUGCAGAAAUACGCUAGGUUCAAAUAGCUGUUUUAGCCCCCUUUGGCUGAAACGCCUUCAUGCAGUUUCUUGUAACCGUCUAUCAGUGUUGUACAUCGACUGGGAGGAACUUUUGCCCCCUUUUCAGUACAGUGCUGCUUCAACGGUAAUGUUCAAGGGCUUUCUUGCAUGCGCAUCUUGUUUCAAGUCCUCCCACAGCAUUCCAAUAGGACUGAAAUCUGGACAUUGUCUCAGCCAUUCCAUUACCCUCCAUCUCCUCUGUUCGAGCCAUCCUGUUGUAGCUUUGCUUGUGUGUUUCGGGUCAUUGGUCUUGUGGAAAGAUCCAAGAUGACCUUUGGUCUAGAGAUUUAGAUUAGAUUGGAUUCAACUUUAUUGUCAUUGAACAAGUAAAGGUACGGUACAACAAGAUGCAGUUAGCAUCUAACCAGAAGUGCUAAUAGACGAGGGCGGAAAAUGUACAAGUAUUAAGUGGAAUGGUACUGAGGGCUACCUCGCAAUCCCCAAGUCCAAGUAUAAAGGCUUUGGUGACAGGGCUUUCUCCUAGGCUCUGGAACUCGCUCCCCAAAACCAUCUGUGACUCUGAGACUAUCCCCAUCUUCCAGCAAUGCCUCAAAACUCAUCUGUUCAAAAUCACCUACCCUUAGCCAUGCCCAGGCCCAUUCUCUCAAUUGUCUUUGUUUUACCAUGGUAUUUUUUUUGUUUGUUUCUGUUCCAUGUUCAUUUUGUAAAGCGUCUUUGGGUCCCUGAAAAGCGCUAUAUAAAUAUAAUGCAUUAUUAGUGAUGGGUCACAGAGUUCAGCAGUCUAUCUAAAUCACCUGGGUAAAUAUUUAUAUGGAGGAUUUUUGGCUGUGAUUCAGAUUAUGUUGGUGUAGCUAGCAAGUUGUGCUAGCUAGCUACAGCCUGGGCUCCAUUAUAGGAAAUUGUCAUGAUACGAUAUACGAGGAUGCAGUUGUUGGUGGUCUUAAAUGGAAAGCAGACCGAAAAUAUAAUGAUUAAAGCGCCCAUAUUAUGACUGCUUUUCAACUUAUAGGUCUAUAAGUUCCAUAAAACAUGUUUCUGAAGUUGUUUGCUGGAAAUAGCUUGUAGGAAAAGAUUCUUACCUCCCUCUAUUACCCUCUGUUUCAGUCCCUUUCAAAGUUUUCUGCUGCUCAUUGCAUAUUCAUUAGCUGCUGCUCCUUUGCCCACGCCCACUCUAACUGUUACCAUGGUAGCGGGGAGAGCGUAGUAGUAAAAGAGAGAAAUGCCAUCAACUUCAUCUUUUAGAAUGUAUGUAUUAUUAUGCCAACAGAUACAUCAAGCAAAAAAGUAUCACUAAUAAAUACACUCCAGGAGAAGAAACUACAGAAUGGUUGGCUUCAAGUGUAAAUAGUGCUGUGAUGUAGCAGUCUAAACCAUACACUUGUUUUGCCCUAGACAACGCUAACAUAUUCCCGUUUGUAAAUAUAAUAUUAUAAAAUAUUUACAAAUGCAUUAUUUGCACAAAUCCCCGAAAUUAUAUCCGGCGGGGGAUGAGUAUUGCUUGACCGACUGAGUCUCCGGGUUUGUAUGUGGACACCAUGCUAAUAGCUAGAAGCUAGCGGUUAGCGUUACCUUGUACUAUGUGGCAAAACACUAGCUAGCUAAAAUGUUAGUUUGCCAAAACACUUCUUGGUUAGUUUGUGUAGAAUUGCAAAAUAAAGACAGCUAAUUGUAUAGAACUACUUACAUGUCCCUUGUCUGCAGGUAUUCCACGCAAAGUUUGAAUUGCGCACUCUUUUAGCAAAAGUUUCUUGGCUAAUCCUGCCUUGUACUGACCGAAGUUGGAGAAACAGCCGUCUCAAACUGGUUAGCACAAACCGAAAAAAUUUUGAUAACUGUAGCAGGGACAUUGCCUUCAAAAAUGAAUUCAAGCCAUGCCACUCUUCUGUCCUCUGCGGCUGGGACGCGAUGGAGUGUUUUGUGCUCCUCUUUACAGCCAACCACAGUUUAAGUGGUGCUUCGACAUGGUGGUUCUGAAUCAGUAACAACAUGGAGGAUAUCAGAGAAGAAGUUACUGCUGUACCUGGUGGGUGGAGGGUGGGAAUAUUUAAAUUUUUCGGACUGUGACGUCACAGUCCGAGGAGUUUUCUAACAGCUCACCCAGAGACUGAAGACAGAGGACAUUCAGAAACCUAUAUCUCACUCAAAACAGCAUGGAUGUUUUUUUUCCAAAGUUUGUAUGCGUGUGGAAGCACCAGAGACGCAAAAGAACACCCCAAAACCCAGAAAACGUGAUUUUUUUCAUAAUAUGGGCACUUUAAGCAUUUUCAGUGAACUGUCCCUUUAAGUGAAUAAACAGGGUCCUUUUAUAGAAAGGACCGUUGUGAUGUUCUGUGAAUCGCAACACCUGGAGGCUGUCGUCAUCGGCUGUGCAGCUCUUCAAGGGCCUCGGGAGAGCGCUGCGUUACAGAAGAUGGCUGCCUUUGAUCUGGCUUAGAGAUGGAGAGAAACAAUAGCGUCAGCUGGAGAGGCCCCACACUGGAACAACACAUACACACACUCAAAGACACAUAGGAACGAUGCACUCUACAGCAAAUAGUCAAACUGAACACAUGGCAGGCUCCUUUGAAGCAGCGGGAAUGUGAUAGGGAGGAGGCAGCAGCAGCAGUUACAUGACAGUCAGACGGUAAGUUAGCACUGUGUCAACAGUAGCAGUUAUGUGACAGUCAGGUUGUAAGUUCACUGUGUCAACAGUAGCAGUUAUGUGACAGUCAGGCUGUAAGUUCAGUGUGACAACAGUAGCAGUUAUGUGACAGUCAGGUUGUAAGUUCAGUGUGUCAACAGUAGCAGUUAUAUGACAGUCAGGUUGUAAGUUCAGUGUGACAACAGUAGCAGUUAUGUGACAGUCAGGUUGUAAGUUCAGUGUGUCAACAGUAGCAGUUAUAUGACAGUCAGGUUGUAAGUUCAGUGUGACAACAGUAGCAGUUAUGUGACAGUCAGGCUGUAAGGUCAGUGUGUCAACAGUAGCAGUUAUGUGACAGUCAGGCUGUAAGUUCAGUGUGUCAACAGUAGCAGUUAUGUGACAGUCAGGCUGUAAGUUCAGUGUGUCAACAGUAGCAGUUAUGUGACAGUCAGGCUGUAAGUUCAGUGUGUCAACAGUAGCAGUUAUGUGACAGCCUGUAAGGUCAGUGUGUCAACAGUAGCAGUUAUGUGACAGUCAGGCUGUAAGGUCAGUUUGUCAACAGUAGCAGUUAACAGAAAAACACACAAAAAGGGUUUUGGGCCGUUGUGUCUGACAAUGGAACGAGUACACUUACAUUCAUGCUGCACUGUCUGCAGGGUAUGCUAUGUGAGCAACUGAUGGGAAAUAUUUCAUAAAUCUCUUCAAGUCUUCAUCUUACCCUUUUAGGUAAUUGUAAAUGUAAUCAACUAGAAUUUGUUAACUGGUCCUGCAUAUUCUGUUGCUAGUCUUUAAUUCUAACAGGACACCUGGAUGUUAAAACGGAAAGGCAUGUUUUGACACCACGCUGAAAAACACAUGAGAUGACCUCCCAUCUGCAUGCAUUAUACAGUACAGGGGGGAGCCAUGCUGUCUCCAAUGGCUCCAAUGUUCAAAAGGCAGUGUCAUGGGAUAAGCCGCAAAACAGACUGGAAGUUGUUUAUUAUAGAAGGACUCUUGCCUUCUCUGGUACUACAGUGCCUCCUUUUGCCUUGAAGCUUUCCAAACACCAUUGAGCUAAAACACAAACAAGGAAAACAUGUCAGUUUUCCUUGCAACUGUUUUUCUUAAUCUUUAAGUGACUGAGACGGUUAUUUAAUUCCUUUCCGCUCAGGAUUUGAAUAUUCAUGUGGAACUUAACAAAACAAACAUUAAAAAAAAUAAUGUUUAAUUCAAACUGCAACAUGAACAUAGCAUGCUGCCAUUACAGCACGAAUCCAAGGAGAGGUAAGCUGGAUGCUAAUUGGUGAUCUUUUGGCUGUCAUGAGCUACUGUUAAGCAUGUGUUGGUAUUUUCUUGUUGUUCCUGAUUAGUUGUGAAAAGGACAGCUGUUUCCAGCGGCUCUGGGUUUUAACUGUGUGAAAGAACUCUCUGUAAUGAAUUACAGAUGGCGGGAAGCUGUGGCAUUGGUCCGUGUGCAGAACGUGUGCGUCUCUAAACAAUCCAUGCGUUGCUUUUGGUGUCAGCUGAAUUCCAGGUGAAUGCCAAGCAUGAGAAUAGAGAAUGAAUGAGCGGUGUCAUUGGAAAAACAAAUACCAUUUUGGAGCUUAGCGCUCCGUUGCCCUCUCGCUAGCAGAAUAAUGGAAACUAUAAGGCAGACGGAAUUAGAUUUUUGUCAUGUUAUCCUUCACAUUCGCUACAGAUUGCUCAAGCAUUUUGUGGAUUUGGAAUUAGACGGCGUGAAGUUUUCCUCUUGAUGAGCAGUUUUCGUCUUUGCUUCAAGCGGCUUCUUGUGAAAUGUUAUAGUCCCUUACGAACACAGGCAUGUCACCUUAUAGAUGAGUACGUAGAGCAGUAUGACACUACAGGUUUGAAUAAAGCCCUUAGUUCUGACAGUGAAGCCCCAUCACUAUAUACCUUCAUAAUGAGCUGUGACUGCAUGUCAAGGUGAAAUCACUUUAGAUCACGUUAGUCAUUCUUAAUUAGUUCAUCCCGCUAGGUCCAACAAAACUUAAAUCUAACUAGGUUUCUCUCUUUUAAGACUGAAUCCUGUGGGUUUACCUGAACCAUGGACUGUAGUGGAGCCUUCCUGAAAAAGCAAACACUUCCCUUUAACAGUGGAGUACAGAUGUUAUCUGGCUGAGUUUGAGUAGGUCAGUCGGCCUGUGUGACGUUAGAGGAAACAUCUUUCUUGACUGGAGAGUAGUAAGAACACACAGCUAAUCCUCAGCAGGCCACGGGUGUCCCUUAGCUUGGCCUUCAGACUGCCGGAGGUCUCUACGACGGAGUUGAUCGGGUACAAACACGCACUUUCUCGAAAAGAAAAACACAGUGCAACGCAAUCUUUGGUGCUCUUUCUUUCUCCCCCUCUAUUCUCCAACACCCGUUUACACACCUGCCUUAACAGACAAACGCUUCGUUCCUUCUUCUCCCACGCUGCCGAAACAUUUUAUUCUGAUGUGAUCCCUGGUGAGCCGCCAUAGAUGGACAGGAGGCAAUCGACGUGCGGGAAAUACUUGAGCCAGACAGGCCCUCUCAAAACCCACUCGCCCGUACCAUUUAAAGUAAUCUGGGUUUUGGAGUUAACACCUCGAUUCUCGACAUAGCUUCAAUUCUUCCACUCCUGAAUAAACUCCCAUAAAUUGGGUCACCCGCUUUCGCCG